rnacentral:rRNA from 1 species
CCUACGGGCGGCAGCAGUAGGGAAUCUUCCACAAUGGGCGAAAGCCUGAUGGAGCAACGCCGCGUGGGUGAAGAAGGUCUUCGGAUCGUAAAACCCUGUUGUUAGAGAAGAAAGUGCGUGAGAGUAACUGUUCACGUUUCGACGGUAUCUAACCAGAAAGCCACGGCUAACUACGUGCCAGCAGCCGCGGUAAUACGUAGGUGGCAAGCGUUAUCCGGAUUUAUUGGGCGUAAAGGGAACGCAGGCGGUCUUUUAAGUCUGAUGUGAAAGCCUUCGGCUUAACCGGAGUAGUGCAUUGGAAACUGGGAGACUGGAGUGCAGGAGAGGAGAGUGGAACUCCAUGUGUAGCGGUGAAAUGCGUAGAUAUAUGGAAGAACACCAGUGGCGAAAGCGGCUCUCUGGUCUGUAACUGACGCUGAGGUUCGAAAGCGUGGGUAGCAAACAGGAUUAGAUACCCUAGUAGUC